rnacentral:rRNA from 1 species
ACGGGAGGCAGCAGUAGGGAAUAUUGGUCAAUGGGGGAAACCCUGAACCAGCGACGCCGCGUGAGUGAAGAAGUAUUUCGGUAUGUAAAGCUCUAUCAGCAGGGACGAUAAUGACGGUACCUGACUAAGAAGCCCCGGCUAACUACGUGCCAGCAGCCGCGGUAAUACGUAGGGGGCAAGCGUUAUCCGGAUUUACUGGGUGUAAAGGGAGCGUAGACGGACUGGCAAGUCUGAUGUGAAAGGCUGGGGCUCAACCCCGGGACUGCAUUGGAAACUGUCAGUCUUGAGUGCCGGAGAGGUAAGCGGAAUUCCUAGUGUAGCGGUGAAAUGCGUAGAUAUUAGGAGGAACACCAGUGGCGAAGGCGGCUUACUGGACGGUAACUGAGGUUGAGGCUCGAAAGCGUGGGGAGCAAACAGGAUUAGAUACCCUGGUA